AAUACGGAAAAAUUACUGGUACUUCGCUCGAAAGGUAUGGUAUGACCUUACUGCGACGAAUGUGUCUUGGUGGACCUGGAGCCUUUUUAUACCCAUCGCAGGAAUUUGGAUGCCGACGACUCACGAACACCUCGGAAUCAAUCGUGGGAUUAAAAUGCAAUUGAGAAAACUUAAUGGAAAUAGAGUACGGAUACAUGAAAACGGUGAAAACAGCGGGACAAAAGUUGGUCACAUGUGUACAAGAAAACCGGGGGAAACAUGAUUUAUAUUAUAUUUUGCCAAAUGUAUGAUCCUUCAUUUAACAGGGCUUCCCAAGUUUCAGGCAUUUGUGGUUCUUUACUGCCCUAAGAACAACCAGGGCUGAAAACAAUGGAGGCCAGGGACUACAACAUAGUCAACGGAGAACUAGGUAUAACCUAUAAGAAAUUGAACCUUUCCAUGGUACUAUCAGGCUAGAAACCUCUUUAAGUUGGUUUCUUUAUGUAUGUUUACGAUUACAAGCCCCUCAUGACUCACAGGUAAAGCUUAAAAUACUUUACAAUAAUCAAAAACCUA